rnacentral:rRNA from 1 species
UACGGAGGGUGCGAGCGUUGUCCGGAAUCACUGGGCGUAAAGGGCGCGUAGGCGGCGCGGGGAGUCAACGGUGAAAGCUCGGCGCUCAACGCCGAGUCGGCCGUCGAUACUCCCGUGCUCGAGCACUGUAGAGGCAGGUGGAAUUCCGGGUGUAGCGGUGGAAUGCGUAGAGAUCCGGAAGAACACCGACGGCGAAGGCAGCGUCCUGGCCGAGCACUGACGCUCAGGCACGAAAGCGCGGGGAGCGAACAGG